UACGUAGGGUGCAAGCGUUAAUCGGAAUUACUGGGCGUAAAGCGUGCGCAGGCGGUUGUGGUAGGACAGGAUGUGAAAUCCCCGGGCUCAACCUGGGAACUGCAUUUGUGACUGCACGGCUGGAGUGCGGCAGAGGGGGAUGGAAUUCCGCGUGUAGCAGUGAAAUGCGUAGAUAUGUGGAGGAAUACCGAUGGCGAAGGCAGCCCCUGGGAUAACACUGACGCUCAUGCACGAAAGCGUGGGGAGCAAACAGG
rnacentral:rRNA from 1 species